rnacentral:lncRNA from 1 species
CUCAACCCAUGUUUCUAAAGACGGUGGGAAAGACAAGCGAAAACAUGUUGUGGACGUUGAUAGAGAAGAUGAAGUUGGAGAACCUGAGGCUAGACCAAUGGGUGUCAAAGCUGCUAAAGCUGCUGGGAAGAGGAAGAAGAAUGGCAAGGAAGAAGAGAUGUCACAGCUACAGGCCAUAUUAGAGAAGAAGGAUAAACUUCAAAAGCAGAAAAUUCUGGAUCGUUUACUUGCCAAGAAAGAUCCUCUCUCUGAGAUGGAGUCAUCUCUAAAACUGAAACUUAUGGCUGAGAUGUUAGGAUGAUAGUAAGGU